GAUUAUAAUGAACCCUGUUGAUUAGCUUAAUGAUUUUAGAACCAUGAAGAAUUCAUAUCAGUGAGAACUAAAACUCUAAAAUUCUAAUCUUAAAUAUUUCUAAUCGUAGGAACAUAGAGUCGAAGAUCAAGUUUAGUUUGAAUUUUACUUUUUGAUCAAACUAAAUUGAGCGAAGGCUUAAUUUGGAUUUGGAUCAGGGUGUGGC
rnacentral:lncRNA from 1 species